rnacentral:rRNA from 1 species
UACGUAGGGUGCAAGCGUUAAUCGGAAUUACUGGGCGUAAAGCGUGCGCAGGCGGUUUUGUAAGUCUGACGUGAAAUCCCCGGGCUCAACCUGGGAAUUGCGUUGGAGACUGCAAGGCUAGAAUCUGGCAGAGGGGGGUAGAAUUCCACGUGUAGCAGUGAAAUGCGUCGAUAUGUGGAGGAACACCGAUGGCGAAGGCAGCCCCCUGGGUCAAGAUUGACGCUCAUGCACGAAAGCGUGGGGAGCAAACAGG